CCUACGGGAGGCAGCAGUAGGGAAUCUUCCGCAAUGGACGAAAGUCUGACGGAGCAACGCCGCGUGAGUGAUGAAGGCUUUCGGGUCGUAAAACUCUGUUGUUAGGGAAGAACAAGUACAAGAGUAACUGCUUGUACCUUGACGGUACCUAACCAGAAAGCCACGGCUAACUACGUGCCAGCAGCCGCGGUAAUACGUAGGUGGCAAGCGUUAUCCGGAAUUAUUGGGCGUAAAGCGCGCGCAGGCGGUUUCUUAAGUCUGAUGUGAAAGCCCACGGCUCAACCGUGGAGGGUCAUUGGAAACUGGGGAACUUGAGUGCAGAAGAGAAAAGCGGAAUUCCACGUGUAGCGGUGAAAUGCGUAGAGAUGUGGAGGAACACCAGUGGCGAAGGCGGCUUCUUGGUCUGUAACUGACGCUGAGGCGCGAAAGCGUGGGGAGCAAACAGGAUUAGAUACCCUGGUAGUCCACGCCGUAAACGAUGAGUGCUAAGUGUUAGAGGGUUUCCGCCCUUUAGUGCUGCAGCUAACGCAUUAAGCACUCCGCCUGGGGAGUACGGUCGCAAGACUGAAACUCAAAUGAAUUGACGGGG
rnacentral:rRNA from 1 species